GCAGUAGAACGCUGAAGAGAGGAGCUUGCUCUUCUUGGAUGAGUUGCGAACGGGUGAGUAACGCGUAGGUAACCUGCCUUGUAGCGGGGGAUAACUAUUGGAAACGAUAGCUAAUACCGCAUAACAAUGGAUGACCCAUGUCAUUUAUUUGAAAGGGGCAAAUGCUCCACUACAAGAUGGACCUGCGUUGUAUUAGCUAGUAGGUGAGGUAACGGCUCACCUAGGCGACGAUACAUAGCCGACCUGAGAGGGUGAUCGGCCACACUGGGACUGAGACACGGCCCAGACUCCUACGGGAGGCAGCAGUAGGGAAUCUUCGGCAAUGGGGGCAACCCUGACCGAGCAACGCCGCGUGAGUGAAGAAGGUUUUCGGAUCGUAAAGCUCUGUUGUAAGUCAAGAACGAGUGUGAGAGUGGAAAGUUCACACUGUGACGGUAGCUUACCAGAAAGGGACGGCUAACUACGUGCCAGCAGCCGCGGUAAUACGUAGGUCCCGAGCGUUGUCCGGAUUUAUUGGGCGUAAAGCGAGCGCAGGCGGUUUGAUAAGUCUGAAGUUAAAGGCUGUGGCUCAACCAUAGUUCGCUUUGGAAACUGUCAAACUUGAGUGCAGAAGGGGAGAGUGGAAUUCCAUGUGUAGCGGUGAAAUGCGUAGAUAUAUGGAGGAACACCGGUGGCGAAAGCGGCUCUCUGGUCUGUAACUGACGCUGAGGCUCGAAAGCGUGGGGAGCGAACAGGAUUAGAUACCCUGGUAGUCCACGCCGUAAACGAUGAGUGCUAGGUGUUGGAUCCUUUCCGGGAUUCAGUGCCGCAGCUAACGCAUUAAGCACUCCGCCUGGGGAGUACGACCGCAAGGUUGAAACUCAAAGGAAUUGACGGGGGCCCGCACAAGCGGUGGAGCAUGUGGUUUAAUUCGAAGCAACGCGAAGAACCUUACCAGGUCUUGACAUCCCGAUGCUAUUUCUAGAGAUAGAAAGUUACUUCGGUACAUCGGUGACAGGUGGUGCAUGGUUGUCGUCAGCUCGUGUCGUGAGAUGUUGGGUUAAGUCCCGCAACGAGCGCAACCCCUAUUGUUAGUUGCCAUCAUUCAGUUGGGCACUCUAGCGAGACUGCCGGUAAUAAACCGGAGGAAGGUGGGGAUGACGUCAAAUCAUCAUGCCCCUUAUGACCUGGGCUACACACGUGCUACAAUGGUUGGUACAACGAGUUGCGAGUCGGUGACGGCAAGCUAAUCUCUUAAAGCCAAUCUCAGUUCGGAUUGUAGGCUGCAACUCGCCUACAUGAAGUCGGAAUCGCUAGUAAUCGCGGAUCAGCACGCCGCGGUGAAUACGUUCCCGGGCCUUGUACACACCGCCCGUCACACCACGAGAGUUUGUAACACCCGAAGUCGGUGAGGUAACCUUUGGAGCCAGCCGCCUAAGGUG
rnacentral:rRNA from 1 species